AAGUUAUCUACAUGGAUUUGAUUUAUUCAUAUAAUGUUUUCUUAACACGACUUAAGAUGGAUAGAUAGAUAGAUAACUCCAAGGUCAAAUAUAAGAUCACCUUUGAUUGGCUUAUAGAGGAAGUUGAUACCAUACAAGAAUUAUUAUUAACAAAGUCAAACAAAAUUUAAAAUUAAAUAGAGUUCAAGACAAGGAAGCUAUCUUAGUUAUAUAUCCUUUCUUAUUGGUAUGAGAACUUGUACAAACAUUUUGGUUCGAAGAGGAAAAUGGAAGGAAAGAAAAAGGAAGGAAAGAAAGUUGAAAGAAUAAAAAUAAGUAGAAAGUGAGAUGAAAAGUUAGUUGUUUGGUUUAGAAGAAAAAAAGAAAGAAAGAAAGUUAUAAUUUUUCUCUCACGUUGUUUGAUUGUUUAAAAAGUGAAAGAAAUGAAAAAUAAUUAUAUGUCAAAUUACAUAAACACCCCCAAAUAAAAUAGUCACAUUUAAAAUGUUCUUAUUUUUACUACUUUAUUUUUAGCGCGUAUUAUCAUAAUUGUUCAACUUUUUGUACACUUUCAAUUAUCUUAACUUAGAUAAAAUUAUUAUAUCAUGUAUUUCACCUAAAGAAGACAC
rnacentral:lncRNA from 1 species